CUGGGUAAACUAGGGCUGGGCGAUACGGAGAAAAUCUAAUAUUACGAUAUUUUUGAACAAAUACCUCGGUAUAGAUACGGUAGGGUUGACAAUUGGUGCUUUAAUAAAAAAUAUUUACACAGUGAGAUUUUUGAUAAU